UGGCAGCCCACUCAUCCAUAAGAAAAUAAA
rnacentral:piRNA from 1 species